CAUCACGUGCGUCGUAGUCGUCGAUUUUCUUGAUCACGUCACCCCUCUGGAGCGCCUCGUUCUCCGACUGCGAACAUAACAUCAACCGGUCUUGAAAAUUUAUCUGCAGUGUACGAUAAAAAAUUAUGCGAAAUUCUUAAGUGCCAAAAACACAUAGUGAGACAACAAAAAUGUGCUUUGCAUGAAUCUAUUUUACCUGAAGAUUACUCCCCCUAAAUACUUAAAAGUUAUGAAUAAAUUGAACUAAAAGUUAUUGACAUUUUUAUCGGACUGCAUAGUAAAAUUAAUGUGAUGGACGUACUUCUGUGAACCGAAAAGGGAGAUUAAGAAGACAUUUACAUAACAGAUUAUAUUUUGUACUUGAAGUCGAUAAAUGCGUAAAGACACGUUUCGGUUAUCUUGUUAAACUACGUUUCGCGCAAGCUCACAGGGAUGCACCGUAUCAUCGUGUAUCAAUGAAUCAGUGAGCGCUAGAUCGAAUCGCUGAUUUGAGAAUUCCUUGGCAACUCUCACAGCGACUUCCUUCUGCUUCAAAUGUUCACGGAAUUGUGUUACAUCUUCUCCUAUUGUUCGCUCGCAAUUCUCAAAUGUCAGUGUAAAAUUGUACCAAAAUCAAAUAUAUAUAUAUAUA